rnacentral:tRNA from 1 species
GCGCUCUUAGUUCAGUUCGGUAGACCGUGGGUCUCCAAAACCCAAUGUCGUAGGUUCAAAUCCUACAGAGCGCG